UACGAAGGGUGCAAACGUUGCUCGGAAUCAUUGGGCGUAAAGCGCACGUAGGCGCCUUGCAAGUCGGAUGUGAAAUCCCACGGCUCAACCGUGGACGUGCAUCCGAAACUGCUCGGCUCGAGUAUGGAAGAGGGUCGCGGAAUUCCCGGUGUAGAGGUGAAAUUCGUAGAUAUCGGGAGACACAGUGCGAGGCGGCGCCUGGGCCAAUACUGACGCUGAGGUGGCGAAAGCGUGGGGAGCAAACAGGGAUU
rnacentral:rRNA from 1 species